rnacentral:rRNA from 1 species
CCUACGGGCUGCAGCAGUGGGGAAUAUUGGACAAUGGGGGCAACCCUGAUCCAGCAAUACCGCGUGUGUGAAGAAGGCCUGAGGGUUGUAAAGCACUUUCAAUAGGGAGGAAAAAGCGUUGGUUAAUAGCUGAUGCCUUGACAUUACCUAUAGAAGAAGCACCGGCUAACUCCGUGCCAGCAGCCGCGGUAAUACGGAGGGUGCGAGCGUUAAUCGGAAUUACUGGGCGUAAAGCGUGCGUAGGCGGUUAUUUAAGUCAGAUGUGAAAGCCCCGGGCUUAACCUGGGAACGGCAUUUGAUACUGGGUAACUUGAGUUUAGGAGAGGAGAGUGGAAUUUCCGGUGUAGCGGUGAAAUGCGUAGAGAUCGGAAGGAACACCAGUGGCGAAGGCAGCCCCCUGGGAUCAUAUUGACGCUCAUGCACGAAAGCGUGGGGAGCGA